rnacentral:misc_RNA from 1 species
AUCCUCCAAGUAUGAAAAUGGAAUUCUCCGGCCAAAGGUGUCGUUAGCCAUGCAGAGAAAAGUGAGGCCAUCCGAUCUGAGAAUGUGAAAUAUAUAGCGAUCUUGCGAAAAGCACAGCCUAGAAUCAGCCUCAGAUGGAAGUUUCUCGAGGAUCCGCCUAGCCACCGACCCUGUGUUCCCCGUCACCGCGCUGAACUCCGCCAGCACCACCGUGCCCCGCGCCACCACCGCGUACACGAUCGCCAUCUCUAUCUAAAUUUCGUGUCUCUGUAUGCGUAUACGUUUACUACAUGGAAGAGAGGUUUCUCUCUGUUUUUUGUUUUCCUUUUUGAAUAUUUUCUUGGGAUUUCAGCCUUUGGAAGCCAAUAUAAGAAGUAAGAAAUUAAGUUGACAAACGACAGGCUCGAGUGGAGCCUGCCAGAGAUGCCACCGGCAAGUCUACACACGGCGGUUUUAAGGUUCGUGGGAUUUGGUA